UGGGAGACUGGGGAAUUCCUAAUACAGGG
rnacentral:piRNA from 1 species